rnacentral:rRNA from 1 species
UGGGCUACUGAUGCUUAUUGCACCACAUGUGUUUUUCUUUGAAACAAACUUGCUUUGGCGGUGGGCCCAGCCUGCCGCCAGAGGUCUAAACUUACAACCAAUUUUUUAUCAACUUGUCACACCAGAUUAUUACUUAAUAGUCAAAACUUUCAACAACGGAUCUCUUGGUUCUCGCAUCGAUGAAGAACGCAGCGAAAUGCGAUACGUAAUAUGAAUUGCAGAUAUUCGUGAAUCAUCGAAUCUUUGAACGCACAUUGCGCCCUCUGGUAUUCCGGAGGGCAUGCCUGUUUGAGCGUCGUUUCUCCCUCAAACCGCUGGGUUUGGUGUUGAGCAAUACGACUUGGGUUUGCUUGAAAGACGGUAGUGGUAAGGCGGGAUCGCUUUGACAAUGGCUUAGGUCUAACCAAAAACAUUGCUUGCGGCGGUAACGUCCACCACGUAUAUCUUCAAACUUUGACCUCAAAUCAGGUAGGACUACCCGCUGAACUUAAGCAUAUCAAAAGCGGGGAGGAA